GAACUCUCAAAGUCACCUUCCUUUGAUAGGGUUGGUGUGCUUUGGCUCGUGGGCGCUUGUGGGCCUGGCUCGCUCGUCUGAAAUCAAAUGUGGUGGUUUUCUCUAAAGCCUGUGUCGGGUUUGACCUGGAGUGAUAGAAGUCUUUCGAGAUCUCUGGGGACCGCCUUUUUGGCGACCUGCCGAGGUGGGAGAGAUUGCCUACUAAGGCUCAUCUGACGU
rnacentral:misc_RNA from 1 species